rnacentral:rRNA from 1 species
GACGUAGGGUGCAAGCGUUGUCCGGAUUUAUUGGGCGUAAAGCGCUCGUAGGCGGUUUGUUGCGUCGACUGUGAAAGCCCGCGGCUUAACCGCGGGCUUGCAGUUGAUACGGGCAGGCUAGAGUUCGGUAGGGGAGACUGGAAUUCCUGGUGUAGCGGUGAAAUGCGCAGAUAUCAGGAGGAACACCGGUGGCGAAGGCGGGUCUCUGGGCCGAUACUGACGCUGAGGAGCGAAAGCGUGGGGAGCGAACAGG